GAUGAACGCUAGCGGCAGGCUUAAUACAUGCAAGUCGAACGGGAUUGAGAAGCUUGCUUUUCAUGAGAGUGGCGCACGGGUGCGUAACACGUAUGCAACCUGCCUUGUCCAGGGGGAUAGCCCGUUGAAAGACGGAUUAAGACCGCAUAACAUCAUUGAAUGGCAUCGUUUAAUGAUCAAAUAUUUAUAGGGACAAGAUGGGCAUGCGUCUGAUUAGCUAGUGGGCGGGGUAAUGGCCAACCAAGGCGACGAUCAGUAGGGGAUCUGAGAGGAUGACCCCCCACACUGGUACUGAGACACGGACCAGACUCCUACGGGAGGCAGCAGUAAGGAAUAUUGGUCAAUGGGCGCAAGCCUGAACCAGCCAUGCCGCGUGCAGGAAGACGGCCCUACGGGUUGUAAACUGCUUUUAUACGGGAAUAACCCCGGUUUCGUGAAACCGGCUGAAUGUACCGUAAGAAUAAGGAUCGGCUAACUCCGUGCCAGCCGCCGCCGUAA
rnacentral:rRNA from 1 species